rnacentral:rRNA from 1 species
UACAGAGACUGCAAGCGUUAUUCGGAUUCACUGGGCGUAAAGGGUGCGCAGGCGGCCAAGUGUGUCAGGUGUGAAAUCCCUCAGCUUAACUGGGGAACUGCGUGUGAUACUGGAUGGCUUGGAUUUGGGAGAGGGAUGCGGAAUUCCAGGUGUAGCGGUGAAAUGCGUAGAUAUCCGGAGGAACACCGGUGGCGAAGGCGGCUUCCUGGACCGACACUGACGCUGAGGCGCGAAAGCUAGGGGAGCAAACGGG